GUGCUCAUUUCGGCAGCACAUAUACUAAAAAACUGGAAUGAUACAGAGAAGAUUAGCAUGGCCCCUUGCACAAGGAUGACAUGCAAAUCUGUGAAGCGUUCCAUAUUUUU
ensembl:snRNA U6 U6 spliceosomal RNA